UUCUCAGUUAACUUGAGAAUUUAUUUGAGUUCCCUUCUCAAUUAACUGCAUGUUAUCCCUGAAUUGCCUUUGUGAGACAGGACACCUGAGGGGAGAGAAAUAGCAUGUGAUCUCACAAUUCAAGACUAUAUACUAGUUUAUACUCAAGAGUGUGUAUACCCUUUGAGGAGAGAGGGUAUACACAAGAUGAUUUUAGUCAUCUUUAUCUUGAAGUGCUACUGGAUAUGUCAGCUGGAGCUCAGCCUACAGCACUGUACUGGGUGACUAUUCUGGAAUGGAAGGAGCAAGCAGCAGAAGCAGCAGCCUGUACCAGCUGAAGCUGUAACUCAAGCCAUCAUAACCUAUGCCUGGGACUUUGUCAGGGAAGCUGAACUUUUCCAGAGCUCUUGGCCCCUUCCUACUCCCCUUUCCAGUUUGCUGCCCAUGUUCUCAUGAUCUGUAAAGAAGCAAACAGCCAGUCUUGAAGUGUGACAUCAGGCUCAUCCUUUCCUAUGUGACUCUCCAUAGCAGGAGUGCCUGUGUUGUGUUACUGCUGUGCUACAACUAUAUGUUCAAAGAAGGAUGACAGUGAUAACAACAAACCUUCUGUGCAUUUCACUGAAAGUGAAUAUUCAUCCAUGAAGUGGCAUUGAUAACAAAGCCUGUGUACAUUUUGAAUUCCCAGAUAUCUGCCUAUUUGGUGCUGUGUAUGGCACUAAGCAGACCCCUCCUGGGAUCAAUUGUCCCCAGGCUGAAGUGUGAGAGCAUGUUUAUACAAUGCUAUAAGGGCUAGGGCUUACCAUGAGAAAAAAAAUCCUGGAAAAAAAGUAGUCUUCAGAACAGAACUUGAUGGUUUUGUUCAGCACGAAGGUACAAGACAGAUGACCCCGUAUGGUAAAUGAAGGGGUAAACUGACAUUUUUCUUAUGGACUUUCCUGAAGCCUCUAAAUCACUAACAAACAAUUUUUGUUCUUCUAUCAUAGCUUAUCUCCUGCUCAAAUUGCUGUGAAUUCAUUGCAUGUUUUUUAACUUAUGACUAUAAUAUUGAAGAAUAUAAUCCAGACAGAUGGAUGAUUAAUUAUAUGAGAAGUAAUUAAACAUGCUCUCAUAGUUUAAUGAGUAUCAGGAUUUUUGGUGGUUGUCUUAUUCUCUGUGUCUUGUAGAACUUAUUGAUAAAUUAUAAUCUAGAUACCAAGACUUCAAACCCAACAAGAAAAAUUAAAGAGCUUCAUUUAGGCAAUUUGAAAUUAGAUUGGAGUACUAAAAAAUGGAGGUAAUUAAAAUUUGGGAUGUCUCAUCUGCCUGAUUAAACAUCCAACAAGAUGCGUGAGUGACACUCCUCUCCAAUCUUCCUUUAUUUGUUUAAU
rnacentral:lncRNA from 1 species